AGAGUUUGAUCAUGGCUCAGAUUGAACGCUGGCGGUAGGCCUAACACAUGCAAGUCGAACGGCGAAAGGUCCUUCGGGAUGAGUAGAGUGGCGGACGGGUGAGUAACGCGUAGGAAUCUAUCCUGUAGUGGGGGAUAACGUUUCGAAAGGAACGCUAAUACCGCAUACGCCCCACGGGGGAAAGCGGGGGAUCUUCGGACCUCGUGCUAUAGGAGGAGCCUGCGUCGGAUUAGCUAGUUGGUGAGGUAAAGGCUCACCAAGGCGACGAUCCGUAGCUGGUCUGAGAGGAUGAUCAGCCACACCGGAACUGAGACACGGUCCGGACUCCUACGGGAGGCAGCAGUGGGGAAUAUUGCGCAAUGGGCGAAAGCCUGACGCAGCCAUACCGCGUGUGUGAAGAAGGCCUUCGGGUUGUAAAGCACUUUCAGUGGGGAGGAAAUGCGGGUGGCUAAUAUCCAUCGGCCGUGACGCUACCCACAGAAGAAGCACCGGCUAAUUCCGUG
rnacentral:rRNA from 1 species